rnacentral:rRNA from 1 species
UUCGGCCGAGCACUCUAAAUAGACUGCCUUCGUAAGGAGGAGGAAGGUGUGGACGACGUCAAGUCAUCAUGGCCCUUAUGCCCAGGGCGACACACGUGCUACAAUGGCAUAUACAAUGAGACGCAAUACCGCGAGGUGGAGCAAAUCUAUAAAAUAUGUCCCAGUUCGGAUUGUUCUCUGCAACUCGAGAGCAUGAAGCCGGAAUCGCUAGUAAUCGUAGAUCAGCCAUGCUACGGUGAAUACGUUCCCGGGUCUUGUACUCACCGCCCGUCACACCAUGGGAGUUGAUUUCACUCGAAGCCGGAAUACUAAACUAGUUACCGUCCACAGUGGAAUCAGCGACUGGGGUGAAGUCGUAACAAGGUAACCGUAGGAGAACCUGCGGUUGGAUCACCUCCUUU